UGUAAAAUGAAAUUUAAUGUAUCAUUUUUAAAACUACACAUCUGAGAUUUCAGCGAAAUUAAAAAUACACCUUUCCUCUCAAUCUCUCACAUCCCACUCUCUCACCAUUAUUUCACAAUUUUGUCUCCCCGGAUUCUCUCUUCUCAAAACCCUAGCCUCCCCAAUUUCUAACGAGCAAACUCUAAUCUUCACUAUUUUAUACAGCUUUGAAGACGCCGCCGAACAAGCUAGUAGAAAUUGACGCCAUAUUGUGCAUUAUUUUGAGUUGUAGUGUCGAUUGAAGCAAUGAUUUCACUAUUUGUAUCGAUUUCAAGAUGCCCGCGAACAAGGCAUCGAGGCACAAGCAAAGAAGCGCAAUAAAAAGGAAAACAUACUCUACUUCAGGAGGUCGGUGACCGAGUACGUGAACAUGACUAAGAAGCCGAACCCUAGACAAAUCGAAGCUUAAAUUCUUAUAACAAUGGUUUCGUACUAUGUAAUUUGAAAUGGAUUUGUAGGAUAUUUUUUCUAGAUUUAUGACUAUGUAGAGCACUUGGGGUGGUUUGAAUGUUUGUUUAUGAAUGGUCGUGCCUUGGUAAUUGAA